UGGUUUGUCAAGGUGAAGUCAUUGAUGGUUGUCUGCUUAAUCGAUUGGGGUAGAGCCACCGAGCUUCUUGAACCAAGAGUAGACGCAUACCCAAAAGUACGCGGAGAUAACUGCAGGCCAAAGAGCAAUAUUCAGCUUGUUAGUUGUCAUAAUUCAGCGAAAAGCAUACUUACUGAACGAUAUCACCAUGACAAUAACGGAUUCUGUGUGAAUUGGUUGGUAAUUGAAGAUCUCAUGCCGCAUACCGUAAAUCACCAGCCAAAUUACACCCAAAAGAAGGACAAUGAAUCGGAUGAUACCAGCUAUCAGGCACUUACCACUGCAACGGAUAUUAAAAGCAUGACACAGGCGAUAAUGUGAAGAAUGGAGACAGUCGUGCUAAGAUAGUAAACAAUAUUCACAUGCAUUCCUAAACAGACAGACAUGAAGGGACCAAUUUGAAUAUUAUGUACUCCACUUACCCUUGGACAACCCAACUAGUGUGGCACACAGGAUUAGCUCCACGAUGCCAAUAAGCACCAUACCCCAUUUCAGCUCCAGAAGGCAAAACACCUUUUGGAUCUUAAUCAUUUUCACAGUUGGUGAAAGUAUUUGUCUACCUAGAUAUAUUCUGAAUGGAAAUGGAAUGGAAUGGAUCUCCCUCCUCAGACCUACUUUUCUUAAUUUUUGGACUGUGAAAUAUUUUCACCGAGGCACUCAAUAGGCAGGCUCAACUCAGCUGGUUAUGCGUAUAUAUUCUGGUAUAUUAGUGACGUGGCGUAGCCCAAUAAAAAUUCAGGUGUGAAAAACCCGCUACCUAUCUCUGUUGAUCCCACCGAUACCGCCGGACCCGUCGAUGGCCAGUAUACAGUGGCAAGUUCAACGCCCGCCCCUCAAACAAAGCAGCAAGAAGAACACCAACACCAACUCUCUCUCUCUGCUUAGAACAUAACGAACAACCUGUAAUAAAAAAAAAUUACUUCGAAAGAUUUAUCAGGGAUUCGAAGAUGCGCCAGGGUUCGUCUAUGCGCAGCAGUGCCCAGGACACUGGGCUCAUGCCCAGUGUUUGACCAUGUUUGACAAACACUCGCCUAGUGCCUCUAUGCAAGGACAAACGGCUGUGCUGUGUGUAUUAUGGAAUUGGUAUUAGAUAACUAAAUAAA